ensembl:lncRNA
CCUCGAUCAAUGGCUGCAGGUAACAGCAGCAUGAGCCCUCCCUGAAUCCCUCACUUCCUUUACCCCUCUCACCUGGGGUCAUACUCACUGGAUCUGUGGCCGGACCUCUCUCUUCUUCUGUGUCCUCAGGUGGUGGUGCCCGGCUGGGGCUCUCAGGAAGCUGCUGGGGUUUGGGUGGUCCAUCAGGGUGCAGGAAAAGGGAAAAGUCACUUUCGCCCUGGAUGGUGAGCGUCUGGUGGGAGGUGAGGAUGUGGUACCCUUUCCCAGCUGGGCAGAUCUCUUUGAAGGCAGCUGUGCUGCUCCAGACCUUGCUUCUGUGGCCCAGACAACCCUUGAUACUCAUGUGGCUUCUGAGUUCCUAUAAACCUUGACACCUGUGUGACCACUGACCCCACGGACCCUGAUCCUGGCUGCUCUGUACUUCACCUUCUUUCCCAUUAAACCCACUACCUACAGGACCCUGACUU